GGGACCGGAAGUGCCUGUAUUCAGAGAGGAGAGGAGCCUGGGAAGGCGGGAGUGUGGGGAAGGACCCAAAGUUGUUUCUAAACCUGGGGUGAUCUGCAGCUGAUCCCGGUGACUCCCAGCAUGAGGAAUGCAGAGCUCAAGGGGAGGGGCACUAAGCUGGGAGCAACGACAGGUGAAGGAGCGGAGGUGAUAAACAUGUCCCCUGACUUCCGUGAACCUCCAUCCAAUUUGCUGCCUGCGAGCUGUGCCAAGAGUGUUUGCUAAUAAGCCAAAUGGACUUCCCAGAGUCCACUUGAAGUGACUGACGGCCUGAGUUGUGAAAUCCUGAAGGCGCUCGCGCUCAGCUUCCUUCCCUCCAAGCUAGUUGCAGCCGGAGGGAGGGGCACAGAGGAGGCACAGACCUCAGCUUCCAGUCUCAGCCUCUGGAAGCAUCCUGGCUCCAGGAACUCUCCAAGGUCAUCUCAUCCAACGCUAUCAAGAGAACGCUCCCUGGGCCAGGAGGAUGACAGGCCGGGAAAAGCUCUGCCCAGGGGCUAACCAUCAGGCCACACCUUCGGACAGCUUCAUCUGCAGUCAGGAUGACAUCUGCCCUCCUUCUGGCCGAUCCUGACACCAGCUCCUCUCUGGGUUCCAACCCUAUUAUCCCUUAAGCCCCAGUAAUUACAAAUGCAUAAAUAAAUGAAUACAUUUGCCUUUCCUAUUGAAAUCCGUUACCUGCUAAAUAUAUCCCAUUACAAAAGCAAACACUGCUAUCCACCCACACUCACCUCAUGUCCAUUUAAUGACAGAGAGAGCAGCGUACAGAAUCGCUGCUCUGUUUGCAGUUGGCACACCGCCAAUGCUCAAUGUGUGAGUUACGCUUGUCCCAAGUCUCACGCUCAUGGGUCCUCACAACUCCAACAUGGCCAGGAAGGCCAUCAGUGCCAGCAAGGUAAAAUGUCUUUCUAAACACACACCUGACUAGGGGUGGGUUAGCACCUGUGUGGCUCAGUGCACCCUGUCCCCCCA